UACGUAGGGGGCAAGCGUUGUCCGGAAUUAUUGGGCGUAAAGCGCGCGCAGGCGGUAAUGUAAGUUGGGUGUUUAAACCUAGGGCUCAACCUUGGGUCGCACCCAAAACUGCAUCACUUGAGUGCAGCAGAGGAAAGUGGAAUUCCACGUGUAGCGGUGAAAUGCGUAGAGAUGUGGAGGAACACCAGUGGCGAAGGCGACUUUCUGGGCUGUAACUGACGCUGAGGCGCGAAAGAGUGGGGAGCAAACAGG
rnacentral:rRNA from 1 species